rnacentral:tRNA from 1 species
GCCUGGGUGGCUCAGUCUGUUAAGCGUCUGGCUUUGGCUCAGGUCAUGCUCUCACAGUCCGUGGGUUCGAGUCCCGCAUCGGGCU